rnacentral:rRNA from 1 species
AGCAGUCGCCGCGGGAAUACGAAGGGGGCUAGCGUUGCUCGGAAUGACUGGGCGUAAAGGGCGCGUAGGCGGCAUGUACAGUCAGAAGUGAAAUUCCUGGGCUCAACCUGGGGACUGCUUUUGAUACGUGCAGGCUAGAGUGAGGAAGAGGGUUGUGGAAUUUCCAGUGUAGAGGUGAAAUUCGUAGAUAUUGGAAAGAACACCGGUGGCGAAGGCGGCAACCUGGUCCUUUACUGACGCUGAGGCGCGAAAGCGUGGGGAGCAAACAGGAUUAGAUACCCGUGUAGUCCCUGUCUCUUAUAC